UGCUGUUAAAUAAAAUAGAGAAGAUGUGGCUUAAUCAAGGAGAUGCACUUCUCCUUCCCCUGCUCUUUGAUGUUGUGAAAAGAUGUCCAC